rnacentral:rRNA from 1 species
AGCGAACGCUGGCGGCAGGCCUAACACAUGCAAGUCGAACGAAGUCUUCGUACUUUGUGGCGGACGGGUGAGUAACACGUGGGAACGUACCUUUUGGUUCGGAACAACUCAGGGAAACUUGAGCUAAUACCGGAUGAGCCCUUAGGGGGAAAGAUUUAUCGCCGAAAGAGCGGCCCGCGUUAGAUUAGCUAGUUGGUGGGGUAAAGGCUCACCAAGGCUACGAGCUAUAGCUGGUCUGAGAGGAUGAUCAGCCACACUGGGACUGAGACACGGCCCAGACUCCGACGGGAGGCAGCAGUGGGGAAUCUGGCGCAAUGGGCGAAAGCCUGACGCAGCCAUGCCGCGUGAAUGAUGAAGGUCUUAGGAUUGUAAAAUUCUUUUACCAGGGACGAUAAUGACGGUACCUGGAGAAAAAGCCCCGGCUAACUUCGUGCCAGCAGCCGCAGUAAAAC